UGCGUGGGGGAACCCUGACCGCCGUUCCGCGUGUGCGAUGAAGGCCUUCGGGUUGUAAAGCACUUUUGGCAGGAAAGAAAUCGCACAAAUUAAUACUUUGUGUGGAUGACGGUACCUGCAGAAUAAGCACCGGCUAACUACGUGCCAGCAGCCGCGGUAAUACGUAGGGUGCAAGCGUUAAUCGGAAUUACUGGGCGUAAAGCGUGCGCAGGCGGUUCGGAAAGAAAGGUGUGAAAUCCCAGGGCUUAACCUUGGAACUGCACUUUUAACUCCCGAGCUAGAGUAUGUCAGAGGGGGGUGGAAUUCCGCGUGUAGCAGUGAAAUGCGUAGAUAUGCGGAGGAACACCGAUGGCGAAGGCAGCCCCCUGGGAUGAUACUGACGCUCAUGCACGAAA
rnacentral:rRNA from 1 species